GAAAGAAGAACAGUGGAAGGCGUGGAGAGCGAGGAAGGAGGAGGGUAGGAGAGAAAGGUAGAUGGGAUGGGGGUAUAAGCUCGAUUCUGACAGACUGCUGUCCCUCAAUCUGUCCAGACUUCGUCAAGGGGACUAACAGACAAACUGCUCUUCUCUGCUCAUCUGGAGAAGCAUCAGCCUACAUUUCUGCAACACUGGCCACAGAGAUGCAGUGUAACUGUCACGCCUCUAUAGGAUCCCUUCCCUCACCAUAUUGGAGCAGAACAGUGUUAUUCCCUGAUUGGGCAUACAAGCCUGCAUGGUCACCUGGUUCCAGACAGGUGCAGCUGUGGCACUUCCUGUUGGAACUCCUUGGGCGGGGUGAGGGCGGGGCGAUCGGAUGGGGAGGGGAGUGGGGGGAGUUUGUCAUCAGAGACCCUGAGAGGCUGGCGAGGCUGUGGGGAGAAAGGAAAGGCAAACCCCACAUGAACUAUGACAAGCUGAGCAGAGCACUGAGGUACUACUAUAAUAAGAGGAUUCUUCAUAAGACCAAAGGGAAGAGAUUCACCUACAAGUUUAACUUCAGUAAACUGAUCCUGGUUAACUACCCAGGGUACCCACCUUGC